rnacentral:rRNA from 1 species
AACGAACGCUGGCGGCAUGCCUAACACAUGCAAGUCGAACGAGACCUUCGGGUCUAGUGGCGCACGGGUGCGUAACGCGUGGGAACCUGCCCUUAUGUUCGGAAUAACUCCCCGAAAGGGGUGCUAAUACCGGAUAAUGUCUUCGGACCAAAGAUUUAUCGCCUUUGGAUGGGCCCGCGUUGGAUUAGCUAGUUGGUAGGGUAAAAGCCUACCAAGGCGACGAUCCAUAGCUGGUCUGAGAGGAUGAUCAGCCACACUGGGACUGAGACACGGCCCAGACUCCUACGGGAGGCAGCAGUGGGGAAUAUUGGACAAUGGGCGAAAGCAUGAUCCAGCAAUGCCGCGUGAGUGAUGAAGGCCUUAGGGUUGUAAAGCUCUUUUACCCGGGAUGAUAAUGACAGUACCGGGAGAAUAAGCUCCGGCUAACUCCGUG